GAUGAAGAACGCAGCGAAAUGCGAUAAGUAAUGUGAAUUGCAGAAUUCAGUGAAUCAUCGAAUCUUUGAACGCACCUUGCACCCUUUGGCUAUUCCGAAGGGUAUGCCUGUUUGGGUAUCAUGAACACCUCAACUCUCAUGGUUUGCCAUGAUGAGCUUGGACUUUGGGGGUCUUGCUGGCCUGUGGUCAGCUCCUCUCAAAUGGAUUAGCUUGCCAGUGUUUGGUGGCAUCACAGGUGUGAUAACUAUCUACGCUUGUGGUUUUCCACCAGGUAACCUUCAGCAAUGGGGGUUCGCUGGGGCUCAUAAAUGUCUCUCCUCAGUGAGGACAGCUCUUUGAACGUUUGAUCUCAAAUCAGGUAGGACUACCCGCUGAACUUAAGCAUAUCAAUAAGCGGAGGA
rnacentral:misc_RNA from 1 species